UUAAAUUGAAGAGUUUGAUCAUGGCUCAGAUUGAACGCUGGCGGCAGGCCUAACACAUGCAAGUCGAACGGUAACAGGAAGCAGCUUGCUGCUUUGCUGACGAGUGGCGGACGGGUGAGUAAUGUCUGGGAAACUGCCCGAUGGAGGGGGAUAACUACUGGAAACGGUAGCUAAUACCGCAUAACGUCGCAAGACCAAAGAGGGGGACCUUCGGGCCUCUUGCCAUCGGAUGUGCCCAGAUG
rnacentral:rRNA from 1 species